GCUCUCGUGGUCUAGUAGAAUGAUACGCGCUUUGGGAUUCAUUUCAGUUGUGCGGGGUCCCGGGUUCAAAUCCCGGCGAGGGUC